CCUGCAUGAAGCCGGAAUCGCUAGUAAUCGCGGAUCAGAAUGCCGCGGUGAAUACGUUCCCGGGCCUUGUACACACCGCCCGUCAAACCAUGAGAGUUGGCAACACCGAAGUCGGUAGUCUAACCGCAAGGAGGACGCCGCCGAAGGUGGGGUUGAUGAUUAGGGUUAAGUCGUAACAAGGUAGC
rnacentral:rRNA from 1 species